CAGUCGCCGCGGUAAUACGGAGGGUGCAAGCGUUAAUCGGAAUUACUGGGCGUAAAGCGCACGCAGGCGGUCUGUCAAGUCGGAUGUGAAAUCCCCGGGCUCAACCUGGGAACUGCAUUCGAAACUGGCAGGCUAGAGUCUUGUAGAGGGGGGUAGAAUUCCAGGUGUAGCGGUGAAAUGCGUAGAGAUCUGGAGGAAUACCGGUGGCGAAGGCGGCCCCCUGGACAAAGACUGACGCUCAGGUGCGAAAGCGUGGGGAGCAAACAGGAUUAGAUACCCGAGUAGUCCCUGUCUCUUAUAA
rnacentral:rRNA from 1 species